rnacentral:lncRNA from 1 species
GAUCGGUUCUGAUUGAGGACAUCGUGAAUGCGUGAGGGGACGUGAAAUCAUAUCUUCAUAUCCAAGCUAUAAGUCUUUGAAAGUUGCAUAAAUGUGGCAUGCCAAACCUUCCCUUUAUGGAAAUCUUAAAUAUAACAUUUAAAUGACAACAUUACAUGAGAGGACUACAAUACAAAUAAAUGAGAGAACAUAUAGGACAGAGAAAACAUAGCUUACAAAAGGUACCAGGUUUUUAAUAUACGCCAGGCGUGCGUUUCGUCCACACGAGACUAUGAAAAAAGUUCGAAUGCCAAAACAAGUACAUUAAAGACCAAAAGUUCCAAAAAUGUUGUGCCUAAUACGGGCAGGGUUAUCUGUCUGGGAUAAGAACAUCCUUAUCAUUAUAAAUAAUUCAUACUUUUGCAACCAGUAUUUUUUAUAUAAAAUGACUAUAUAAUAGAUAAACAUGUUAAACUCGAAGUGGUGACUAAUUUCAGGAUAAACACGG